GUCCAUGGGUGCCAGGAGUGUUUCCUCUUCCUCCUGUAGUGGUCUCUUCCUGCUGGGAGGGGUGAAGGAAGGCAUAUUGGUCUGCAGCAGCCUCUCCACCUGUUGCUUCAUCUUGUCAUCCUGAAAUGUUGACAUAAGAGCCACCACAAAUGUCCGCCAAACAUCUGAGUGAGUCUGAGGAACCCCACACACACACCCACCUCCAGCCAGUGAUGUUUGAGAGCAGCAGCAGCGUCCAGUCUCAGCUUGGGGUCCCUGACGAGAAGGCGCAUGAUGAGGUCCCUUGCUGGCUCAGACACUGCCUUCCAGAGCUUGUGGCCAAAACUGUACUUGGCCUGCAGGAUGCUCUGUCGCACCUCCAAGUCAUUGCCAUGGAAAGGCGAUGCCCCGACAAAACUGUGGAGGUGCAGGUGAUUGUCAAGUGAUGAUGACAAGAUGUGGUAGUAAAUGCAGUGGUGUACAGAAGAGACACAGCACCUGACAUAGAGCACCACGCCAAGGCUCCACAUGUCCACCUGGCUUGUAUAGGUGGCAGUGGCUGUGUCCAGGAGCUCAGGGGCGAUGUAGAUGAAGGUCCCGCAGAAGGUGGUCAUCUGGGAGGCGUCAGCGGCUAACUUAGAGAGGCCAAAGUCAGUCAGCUUAAUGGUGGUGAACUCGUCUGUUGUGGCCAGUAAGAUGUUCUCCGGCUGAAGGAAAGGUGGCAGAAAUGAACACAGCAGCAGCCAGCCAGCCAGCCAUUCAGUCACCUACCUUGAUGUCCCUGUGGGUGAUCUUACGCUGGUGGAGGUACUGCACGGCGAGUAACAGCUGGUAGAAAAAGAACUUGACAGCAGGUUCAGGGAGAC